rnacentral:lncRNA from 1 species
AAUCAGCUACAGUAGGGAAAAGGAAGUCAAGGUGGGGUCCUUGGGCCAAGCAAAAAGAUGUUUCAGAGGAGGAAGUGUGAUCCAUUGUCACGUGCUGUAGACAAGUUAAACUAGGUGAAGAGGAACCACUGGACUUAGCCAUGGGGAAGGCACUAGUGAUCUUGAGAAAACAGAUUUUUGUAGAAUGCUGGGAACAAAACACUGAUUGGGAGAGAUGGGGAAAGGCAUGAGGAAUAUGGACAGCUGUUUUGAGACAGUCCCUGUGAAGGGGAGUAGAUGUGAAGGGGAGUAGAAGAAUGGGCUGUAACUGGAAUAUGGAUCGCGGGUUCUGGGAAAUUUAAAAGUCUUUAAGGUAGGAGAAAUAAUACAUGUCUGAAAAUUAAUGAGAAUGCUUCAGUAGAGAGCAAUUGCUGAGCCCUUGAGUAGACCAGAAAUAGGAUUGAAAAUACAGAGAGGCAUUGGUCAGAGGAGCCGCAACAUUUUAUAACAGAAAUCAAGGUUUUUGUUGGUAGAGAUUUUAAGUAGGAAAACUUUGAAGUAAUCAGAAAAUAUCUUCUACUUCCUCAGUAAAGGAAGAAGAAAGAAGGCCAACUGAAAAGUGAUGGGAAGGGG